rnacentral:rRNA from 1 species
UCAAGUGACUAAGUGCAUGCGGCGGAUGCCUUGGCGAUCACAGGCGAAGAAAGACGCGGCAGCCUGCGAAAAGCUGCGGGGAGCUGGCAAACGAGCUUUGAUCCGCAGAUAUCUGAAUGGGGGAACCCACACCGCAAGGUGUAUCCGUAACUGAAUACAUAGGUUACGGAGGCGAACGAGGAGAACUGAAACAUCUAAGUAUCCUCAGGAAAAGAAAUCAACCGAGAUUCCGGCAGUAGCGGCGAGCGAACCCGGAGGAGCCUAGCUUUUGAUAGUACGAACUUUAGCCGAAAGGUCCUGGAAAGGCCUGCUAUAGUGGGUGAUAGCCCCGUAGGCGAAAGAGUUGGUACGGUACUAAGGAAGCGGGAAGUAGAGCGGGACACGUGGAAUCCUGUUCGAAGACGGGGGGACCAUCCUCCAAGGCUAAAUACUCGUGAUCGACCGAUAGUGAACCAGUACCGUGAGGGAAAGGCGAAAAGAACCCCGGGAGGGGAGUGAAAUAGAACCUGAAACCGCAUGCAUACAAACAGUAGGAGCCUCAUCAGAGGUGACUGCGUACCUUUUGCAUAAUGGGUCAGCGACUUACAUUCUGUGGCGAGCUUAACCGAAUAGGGGAGGCGCAGCGAAAGCGAGUUCGAAAUGAGCGUCCAGUCGCAGGGUGUAGACCCGAAACCAGAUGAGCUAUCCAUGGCCAGGUUGAAGGUGUGGUAACACACACUGGAGGACCGAACCGACUAGUGUUGCAAAAUUAGCGGAUGAGCUGUGGAUAGGGGUGAAAGGCCAAACAAAUCUGGAGAUAGCUGGUUCUCCCCGAAAACUAUUGAGGUAGUGCCUCGUGUGUCGCUCCAGGGGGUAGAGCACUGUUUUGGCUAGGGGGACAUGGAGUCUUACCAAACCAAGGCAAACUCCGAAUACCUGGAAGCGUAAGCACGGGAGACAGAGCACCGGGUGCUAACGUCCGGACUCAAAAGGGAAACAACCCAGACCGCCGGCUAAGGUCCCAAAUAACAGCUAAGUGGAAAACGAAGUGGAAAGGCCGUGACAACCAGGAAGUUGGCUUAGAAGCAGCCAUCCUUCAAAGAAAGCGUAAUAGCUCACUGGUCGAGUCCUUCUGCGCGGAAGAUGUAACGGGGCUAAGCUGUUAACCGAAGCCGCGGAUGCACUGGUUAUCCAGUGCGUGGUAGGGGAGCGUUCUGUAAGUCUGCGAAGGCGGUUCGAGAGGACUGCUGGAGAUAUCAGAAGUGCGAAUGCUGACAUGAGUAACGUUAAAGCAGGUGAAAAGCCUGCUCGCCGUAAGCCCAAGGAUUCCUGCUCUACGUUCAUCGGAGCAGGGUGAGUCGGCUCCUAAGGUCAGGCCGAAAGGCGUAGCCGAUGGGAAUCAGGUUAAUAUUCCUGAACCUGCGUCAGAUGCGAUGGGGGGACGGAGCAUGGAAGAUCAUCCGGGUGUUGGAAGUCCCGGUUGUUGAGCGUAGGGGGUCUGCAGGCAAAUCCGCAGACGCAUCUCCAAGGCAAAGACACGUGCCGCCACGGCGGCGAAGUGAUCGGAAGUGCUUCCAAGAAAAGCCUCUAAGCCCCAGUCUGACGCGGACCGUACCGCAAACCGACACUGGUGGGCGAGCUGAAUAUGCUCAGGCGCUUGAGAGAACUCGGGAGAAGGAACUCGGCAAAUUGACACCGUAACUUCGGAAGAAGGUGUGCCGUAGUACCGUGAGAGGAGAGACACCUUGAGCGGGAAACGGUCUCAGAGAAUAGGUGGCUGCGACUGUUUAUUAAAAACACAGCACUCUGCAAAGUCGAAAGACGACGUAUAGGGUGUGAUGCCUGCCCGGUGCUGGAAGAUUAAUUGAUGGGGUGAGAGCCCUUGAUCGAAGUCCCAGUAAACGGCGGCCGUAACUAUAACGGUCCUAAGGUAGCGAAAUUCCUUGUCGGGUAAGUUCCGACCUGCACGA